ensembl:rRNA 5S_rRNA 5S ribosomal RNA
CACUACGGCCAUGCCACCCUGAACAUGCCUGAUCUCAUCUGAUCCCAAAGCUAAGCAGAGUCGGGCCUGCUUAGUAGUACUUGGAUGGGAGACCACCUAGGAAAACCAGGUGCUGUAGGCG